CCCACUCAAUAUAUGUAGAUCAAGGACCACACUACAUUUUGUAUUGCAGAGAGAUUUUGCACGGACCAACAACUCAUAUAUACAUAAUUAUGACAUUAAUUUAACUAAAUUAAUUGAACGAAAUUAAAUAAAUAAAGAGGUAUAAUUAGGAUUCUUUUUUCCCUCUGCUAAUACAAAGCAAUAUCUCAAUAUAAACAUUUUUAUCGACA
rnacentral:lncRNA from 1 species